GAAAAAUAGCGACUUCUCAAUUUGGAAAAUUUUUCCAUGGACAGAAUCAAAGUCGCUGGGUGUACAUGUAGUCUUCCGAGUUACUCGUCAGCCCUGAUGAUCCAUCGAAUAUACAGGAAUGUAUGAUAGAUGCAGAAUCACCGAAGGGUCGAUUUAAAAGUAAUCGAAGGCUGGAGGAAACAUAUGCAAUGUGUUGAACGCCACCAAAAACAAGAAAAAA
rnacentral:lncRNA from 13 species